CAAGGAUAUUUUCAUGUAUGUCUAGUCCUUGCCUGGACUCCUUUUGGGAAGUUGGUCUUUGAUCUACACCCAACUGCAGUUGGUCUUAAUAUAUGUUUCCUCAUUUAACUGUGUUAACAUUGUGUAGUAAGUAAAUGAUGGUAUAUGUGUGACAUUGUCUAUUGUAUUCUGCUCACUUGUUGGUGUGUCUCAGAGCAACACUAGAGUGCUAAAUGGCUUUGAAUGCCAUACUUUUAUGGUAACCCUUUACAUCAGCAGCCUGUUUCUCCAGUGUUAUUCUUUGGAUAUUUAUUUUACAAGCAUAUUGUCAACUUUGAAGCAAGCUUAAUAAAACCUUGCUGCGAUCUGUCCCAAUGACUGCAUUAAUCUGCAGGUAAUUGACACCUUGGUCUACUGACUCUUACGCUGUGUAGCCUUGUCUGUUUAUCAAAGUCCCCACGGUCUGCACUGUCCCACUGCAGUCACAGCAGAGGUCACACACUGUAUCUAUUAGGUUAUCUCUAUGUUUUAUGCUUUUUGACGCUACUCUGAAAGAAAGUGAAGAGUUUCUCUUUUAGGCCCAUUGCUGUAGUACAUGGAAGCACAGGUUGCUUAUAUGUAUUGUUAGUUAGCUCACCGACCUCGCUAAGCUCACUUCUUCAGAUUCCUAUGAUUCUUUUAAUCAAAGAAAUAAUACCACAUACACAUAAAAACACUAUUAUUUCUUUCCAGUAUUUGUGUCUUGUGUUUCCUUUAUGUGGUGUACUGCACUGGCUGUGAGGGUGAAUGCAAUAUUGAAUAAGUGCGAUGACUGGAGUCUUCAUGUCUGACCUCACGGUCUGGAACAUUUCUCCUUUCCUGUUCUGGGAUGUGUGUUUUAUCUCUAAGAAAGCAGGAAACCCAGCCUCCUCAAACUGAAGAUUAUCAGCCAACCACUUCUGAGAUUAAAAAAAAAAAAUGUUAAUGAAGAGAAACUUAACAGAAAUCUACCUUAAUCCCCCAAGCUCGUGGUGUGGUGACUGGUGUGGUGACGACUUGCACAAAUAAAGCCUGUCUGAAGGUCAGAGAAUGGAG
rnacentral:lncRNA from 1 species